ACAGAUGCUAGUCCUGAAUCAACAUGGUUUCCUGAAUUUUCUCCUCAACCACUGGAAUAUAGCAGUAAUGUUCUCUUCUCAAACUCCUUCCUACUGGGAUUACAGGAUAUCUAUGGAUCCCUGAGGACUGUUCCCUGGUUAUUCUUUUCUAUAUACCUUUUAUCCACUAAUGA